UGUCACGAGUGCCAACGUCCAGCCCCGGCUUGUUGGCCGGCAACCCUCCACCGCGAAGGGGUGCCCCGGGUGAGGACACGGCCGCAUCCAGUGGAGGCGGCAAAGCGCGGGCC
rnacentral:ncRNA from 2 species